rnacentral:lncRNA from 1 species
CAUGAUAGAAUUUUUUGUAAUCCAUGAUCGAAUGUUUUGUAGUACAUGAUCGAAAUUGUUUUUUUUUUUUUGUUAUCCAUGAUCGAAAUGUUUGUUUUUUUUUUAUAAUCCAUGAUCAAAUUUUUUGUUUUUUGCUUUUUUUGUAACCCAUGAUAGAGUUUUUUGUAAUCCAUGAUUGAAUUUUUUGUAAUCCAUGAUCGAAUUGUUUUUUUCUUUUUUUGUAAUCCACGAUUGAAUUUUUUGUUUUUUUUUGUUUGUUUUUUUUGGUAAUCCAUGAUCGAAUUUUAUGUAAUCCAUGAUCGAAUUUUAUGUAAUCCAUGAUCGAAUUUUUUGUAAUCCAUGAUUAGAAACACAACAAAACACUAACACUCAGGGAUUUGGGAAUAGUCAGACGCCUGCUAAUAUCGAUGAUUCGUUUUUAGAUCGAAUCAAUGAAUUGUUAAAUGAAUUCAAUCAAUAGCACCAGCGUGACCAAGAAGAACAAUAACGUCGUCUAUCAUUUUAUUUUUAGAUCAUAUGUUACUAAUUUUAUGCUUUAUUGUAGUCCAUGUAUGUUGAUAUACUUAUUCCAUGAUAAUUAUAUGUUUAUCCUUUUGUGUGAUGUAAAUUAAAUGCUGAAUGGCGGUUCAUGCAGGGAAAGAACAUAUCAAUAUUCGUAUAUUCAUUCAAAAACAUCAAAAUUCUUAAUGGAGUACCCUCAUUUCUUAUUGAAUUCCUAAAAAACAAUAUUUAUAAUGAAUUUUAAUAAUUUUUUUGGAUUUUUUUUAAGCUUUAUU